GGGAAGACGACUUCCCUCCGGAGGGUAGAAGGGCCUGCUGGGAUACUCCCGGAUGACUGCGAAAGGCAGUGGGCGGGCUCCGCCGUUCCGCGGCACGCCGGGAAGAGGUCACUUCCAAGGGAAGGUUCCGGUUCCGGUGUAGGCGGUGGUUGAGUUGCCGUGGCAACGCGGUAACCCGGCUCCGGGUUUCCGCGUUAGGGGCGGCAGUGGGGCUGGAGCCGGCCUGUGCCCGCCUUUCCCAGCCUGGGUGAGCGACGCCGGUACCUCCGUGCGGCCGCGGCGGAAAGUCGCCGUUCGUGGUGGGAGCGGGGCCGGGGCCGGGCGCUGGGGGCCGGGGCGCCCGCGUCGAAGCGGGCGGCCACGUGUCCCGGCUGUGCCUUGGCCGCGCUGCCCGCGUGGGAGCCGAGGCCCGGCCCCGGCCCGGCGGCGCCCGCCUCCGGCGUUCAAUUAUAUCUCGAAAAUAACUUUUAAAAUUGUGUAACGUGCUCUCGUGUGCAUAUCCCUUCCAGGUUUGGGGCCUCGUGGACUUUGCAGCCCGCCUCAGUCCUUUGUUGCCCAGGGAGCCACGAGGGAAUUGGUUCCCUGGACAAACGUUUUCUGAGCGGGUGCUGCGUGCUAGGCACGGUGCCUGCGCGGGAUGCCCGGACUUGGUGCCCAGAGCUCGUCAGCGGGAGAAGUGAGAAGCAGCUUCAUGGAUUCCAGGUAAAUCAGAGGAGCAAGCAUCAUGAACAGAAGUAUGUACAGGAAAUGCCGUGGUGCUGAAGCCUAAGCGAUGUUGCAGAAGUCCAGGACCUGGUGUGCUUACCAGUUGGGAAUGUAUUAUUUCCCAAAUCACCUAAUUUUUCCUCAUGCUUAUAGGAGAAAAAUUCGCAGACUUCUCUUCUGAGGAUCCAGGGACAUAGAACAAUAAUGCGAGGUGGCACAUCUCUUACCUAGUAUGUAGCAUUGGCUUGGAAGCUUAGAUGUCUUUCUUACUGUCAGACGUUUUAUUGAGAACACAGCUGUCAUCAUAAGAUUACAAGUAAACCCUGAGCAGGAAGAAUACCCGGCCUGCGUUCUGGGAACUUACAGUAAGUCGAGUUGCUGUGGGCAGUAGAGCAUAAGAAUGCAGGUGAAACCUAAGGCUAUGAGAGAGCAUGUCUGUGUUCAUUCAGAACACUCGGUGGGGCGGCUUUGAUAGCACGGUCAAGGGCAGGGUAAAUCUAAACUUUUGGGUUAGGCAUCGCAACCAAAGAAAUUAAAACAAUUUGAAGUUUCUAAUAAAGCAGCCAAAAAUACAAAAUUUUAUGGAUGUUGAACAUACUCCUUUCUGUCUUUGAUUUAAAGCCACCCUUAUACUCUGGUUUCUCUUCAGAUCGAAUAAAUCUUUCGCCUUCUAAAACCACCGUUGAGGGCGCUUGGGUGGCUCAGUCAGUUGAGCGUCUGACUUGAUUUCAGCUCCUGUCACGAUCUCUCGGUCCGUGGGUUCGAGCCCCACGUUGGGCUCCACGCUGGCAGCACAGAACCUGCUUGGGAUUUUCUGUCUCCCUCUCUCUCUGCCCCUCCCCUGCUCACACUCUAUCUCUCCUUCUAAAUAAAUAAACACUUAAAAAAAUAAAAAAUGAAACCACUCUUGGAGUAUUGCCUCCAAACAUUGUGAUUUAAAGAAACCAAGAAGAUGGUACGCGAGAUAUUUCUUCCAAAGCAUCAAACUCUCAUGUAUGAUUUGGCAUUUUAGUUUUGAGGUUUUUCUUUAGAAAUCCGUUCUAUUAAUGCCGGAAUCACUGUAUUGUACACCUGAACCUGAUGUAAAACUAUACCUUGACUAUACUGGAAUUAAAAGCAAAACUAUUUUCUGUAAUGAAAACAUGACAAAAA